UACGUAGGGUGCAAGCGUUAAUCGGAAUUACUGGGCGUAAAGCGUGCGCAGGCGGUUUUGUAAGCCGGAUGUGAAAUCCCCGGGCUUAACCUGGGAAUGGCAUUCGGGACUGCAAGGCUGGAGUGCGGCAGAGGAGACUGGAAUUCCUGGUGUAGCAGUGAAAUGCGUAGAUAUCAGGAGGAACGCCGGUGGCGAGAGCGGCACACUGGAUCUCAACUGACGCUGAGGCACGAAAGCCAGGGGAGCGAACGGG
rnacentral:rRNA from 1 species